rnacentral:lncRNA from 1 species
UCAUGUUGUUGAUGUGUUACAUGCAUAUUAUCGUAUAAAUGCCAUUGCACAUGCGAUUAUAGAGAGGUGAGACUUUAUAGAAGACACUUUUGGGAGGGUCACUAUAGAUGUCAUUCUCUCUAAGGCACAAACGACACUGAAGUACAUAAGACAGAGAAUGAACAGGGGGUCAAAUAUAUCUAGUAGUAUUUAUAUUAUGGAUUGUAUUAUAGUUUGUAAUUUGCCAUUUUGAUAGUAUGAUGAAUUCAAAAUUGAUUAUAGUAUAUGACAUUAUAAUCUUAUUA